rnacentral:lncRNA from 1 species
CCGGGCCAUCUUUUGGUUCGCCCUAACGGUACAGACCUCACCAUCCUCUGAAGGGUAUUUAAGCGCCAGAUGGGGGUUGACACAAUUGCUCCGAAAGCAUUCGAACAUGGCCGACCGAGUAGGACAUUGUAAGAUGUGUCUGCCUCCACAAAAAGGAAACGAACCUUCAACUCCCUUGAGUUCUUCUCCAACCCCAAACUGACUUGUAAAUCAAUAUAACCUUUAAUAUCUACUCUUUCCCCUGUAAAUCCUACUAUCUGCUCACGAAAAGGCAUGAUAGCUUCCUCCGGCACAUCCAUUUUCUUGAAUGUUUUCCAGUACAAAAUAUUUGCAGAACUUCCUUGAUUGACUAAUAUCUUCCUUACUUGAUACCGAG